GCGGGAGUAGUUCAGCAGUAGAAUGCUUCCUUGCCAAGGAAGAGGUCGCGGGUGCGAAUCCCGUCUCCCGCUCCA
rnacentral:tRNA from 5 species